ACACACACACACACACACACACACACACUCACAAAUUGGCUUAAUUCUAUUCCUUUGGGUCUGACAUGCUCUUUUCUGAGAAGCUUCUCACGUUCUGUUUCCCUCACCUAAGAGUCAGACUGACAAAGAAUGGUGAACUGACCAUUCUAGGCCCUACUGCAGGAGAGAGAUUUUAUGAGAAAACACCUUUAUAAAGAAUUAUUCUGGGUGUCAGGAACGUAUCUUCCCCUGCUGGAUUGAAAUUCAUCUUACAGAUAUACCCAAACAUGUGCAAACGGUAUCUCCACAAGAACUUAUAUGAUGUCAUAUACAAAACACUAGUAAUAACCUAAAUAGUCAUCAAUCAAAGAAUGAUAAAAUUCCAUGCUAUCAUUAAAAAGAAUAAGAUAGCUCUAUCUACAUUGAUAUGGAAGAAUCCAUAAGAUAUAGAGAGAAACAAAAGGUAUAGAACAACGUAGAACUGCUAUCUUUUAUGUAAUUACAGAUAUUUAUAUAUUUAUUUAUAUGUACAUAGAUAUAAGCAUAUGAAUAUAUAAGCAUAGAAUAUCUCUGGAAGAAUACAUAAGAAAUUGUUGAAAAAAAGAGGCUAGGGAAAAAGGGGUGGCAAGAGCUCAAUUUUCACCACAAACUUUUUUGAACGAUUUGAAUUUUGUGCUACCUGUAUAUCAUCUACAUGCAUACAUUUAAAAAUCUAGCCUUAAAAAACCCACUAAUGCAUCAAACUUCAAAUAUUUGAUUGAUGUUGAGGAAAUUCCCAUGUAAACUGAUGAACGGAGGGCUUCAAAGCAAAAAGGUUUCAUUACCACCUGAGUCAUGUGGGCUUUUGAUCUAAAAGACAUAUGCAGCUCAUAGUCACAUGUCAUCCAAAGCAUUAUAGAGUAGAAUGUAAUAGAAACAAGAGAGGUGUAGGAAAAUGGGAAGAUGAAGACACAGUAAGAUAAAAAUGGAAACGCAUGCAGUAACUAUUCCAUAAGCAAAGAGAAGCCAGUAAAAAUUAUUACUUAGAGUAACACCAAUCAAAUUUGCAUUUUAAGAAUAUUAUUCUGGCUGGGCAAAGUGACUCAGGCCUGCAAUCCUAACACUUUGGCAGGCUGAGCUGGGAGAAUUCCUUGAGGACUUCUUGAGGUUCCUGGACAACAUAGCGAGGCCCUGUCUCAAAAAAAUAAAUAAAUAAAAGUAAAAAUUAGCCAGGCAUGUUGGUCCACGCCUGUAGUCCCAAUUACUUGGGAGGCUGAGGCAGGAGGAUCACUAGAGCCCAGGAGUCAGAGACUACAAUAAGCUAUGACUGAGCCAGCCUGGAAAACAGAGCAAGAUCCUAACUCUAAAAAAAAGAAAAAAGAAUAUUAUUCUGGCAGCCAUAUGGAGAAUUAAUUGAAGAGUACAAGACUAAAGACAGAGAGCCAACUAUAAAUA